CGUGUAGGCGGUCAGGUAAGUGGGACGUGAAAUGCCUCGGCUCACCCGAGGAGCGGCGUCCCAUACUGCUUGGCUUGAGUACGGGAGAGGAUGUGGGAAUUCCUGGUGUAGCGGUGAAAUGCGUAGAUAUCAGGAGGAACACCGGUGGCGAAGGCGCACAUCUGGCCCGAUACUGACGCUGAGGCGCGAAAGCUAGGGAGCAAACG
rnacentral:rRNA from 1 species